rnacentral:lncRNA from 1 species
CACACCUCAACCACAGCCCUGUGACCAUGGUCCUUGAAUUGAAGUUUUCCUUGCAUUGGGUACAAGGACCAGGAAAACACUGUCAACUGAUUUUGUUGAUGUGACCCAGCACCCCUGGCCAGGCUCUGCAAACACAUGGUUAGAGAUGAUGCCUUCCCUACAAGAUCAGUACCCCCUCCCUGGAAGCAUACAAGGCCAGGCUGGAUGGGGCUUUGAGCAACCUGGUGUAGAGGGAGGUGUCCCUGCCUAUAGCAGGGCAUUGGAACUAGAUGAUCUUAAAGGUCCCUUCCACCCACACCAUUCAACGAUGCUAUGAAUGAUCAUCCAAGAGGAAACUGCAUUAUUUGUAUUGCUGUAGCUCCCUGGUCAGCAGCAGAAGAUACAGAAUUGAAUGACAUCACAUGAGGAUUAAACUUCACUCUGUACCAAGAAAUGUCAACUAAAUUGAUUCCAAUUGUAAACUUCCAGCGCAUAUCCCAAAAGGACUGCUGUGUACACAAGGGCUGGAUGUGUCAGGCAGUAGAAAACCACCAUGCGGAUGGAUCUUCCCCAGUGGUUACCUCAAGGUGGACUGAAGCUGGAGUUCCUGCAGUGCUCAUUCAUCAGUCUUCCUCGUGGUAAUAUUCAUGAUUUACAUUCUCCCCAUCAUGAUUAGGUGCUGGAAAAAAGAAAGAUCUACACUGGAGCUGACUUCAGAAAGCAGCGUUCUUCAUCCAAAUCCAAUCAAGCUCUGCGGCAGGCAACCUUUUUGAUUUAGCAUAAAUUUGAAUAUGUGUGGCCCCGAGAAUAACCCUCCUGGCUUUGGAAACCUCGGAGAUGAAAAGACUAUCGCAUAAAUGCCGGGCAGAAGAUUAUCUCUGCAGACUGCCCUUCCUUCUUCCGAAGGCAAUUUUGCUGGAGUGAAGAGUGGGAUGAUGCACUGAAAGCCAUUAAAAAAUGCAGUCAAUUGAAGCUUGAUGGGGACAUUUGUUUUUCCAGCCACAAAAGUGAGAACGGUUCAUAGGGUUGUUGUGGACUCACAUUGCAGUGCAGUGAAGAGCAGUAUUUUGCUUUGCUGGAAGCAGUCUAACUGGAUUAAUUUUUGUUCUUUUUCUCUUUAAUAAAACUGGCAAAAUGUGUCUGCCUUUGAAUGUA